GCUCCGAUAGCUCAGUGGCAGAGCAAGUGGGCGACAACCAUGAGGUCACCGGAUCGAAAUAACCGGCUUGGAGCA